AUUGAACGCUGGCGGCAUGCUUUACACAUGCAAGUCGAACGGCAGCGCGGGCUUCGGCCUGGCGGCGAGUGGCGAACGGGUGAGUAAUACAUCGGAACGUGCCCAGUAGUGGGGGAUAGCUCGGCGAAAGCCGGAUUAAUACCGCAUACGACCUGAGGGUGAAAGCGGGGGAUCUUCGGACCUCGCGCUAUUGGAGCGGCCGAUGGCAGAUUAGCUAGUUGGUGGGGUAAAGGCCUACCAAGGCGACGAUCUGUAGCUGGUCUGAGAGGACGACCAGCCACACUGGGACUGAGACACGGCCCAGACUCCUACGGGAGGCAGCAGUGGGGAAUUUUGGACAAUGGGUGAAAGCCUGAUCCAGCAAUGCCGCGUGUGUGAUGAAGGCCUUCGGGUUGUAAAGCACUUUUGGCGGGAACGAAAAGGACUGUGCCAAUACCACGGUUCGAUGACGGUACCCGCAGAAUAAGCACCGGCUAACUACGUG
rnacentral:rRNA from 1 species